rnacentral:rRNA from 1 species
CAGUAGGGAGGAAGGUAGUGUAAUUAACACCUGCAUAUUUGACGUUACCUACAGAAGAAGCACCGGCUAACUCCGUGCCAGCAGCCGCGGUAAUACGGAGGGGUGCGAGCGUUAAUCGGAAUUACUGGGCGUAAAGCGCAUGCAGGCGGCCUGUUAAGUCAGAUGUGAAAGACCCGGGGCGUUAACCUCGGAAUUGCAUUUGAAACUGGCAGGCUAGAGUCUUGUAGAGGGGGGUAGGAAUUUCAGGUGUAGCGGUGAAAUAGCGUAGAGAUCUGAAGGAAUACCAGUGGCGAAGGCGGCCCCCUCGGACAAAGACUGACGCUCAGAUGCGAAAGCGUGGGGAGCAAACAGGAUUAGAUACCCUGGUAG